GGUUCUCAUGAUUGGUCAGGUGUGCAAGUUGCACGUAUGAAAUUGAUAUUUCACUACAUACGCUUGUUGAUUACCUGGCUGUUCUACCAGCAAGUGGUCGCCCAUCGU